rnacentral:lncRNA from 1 species
ACGUAUACCCCGGCUGGGAGAGGUAGGUAGUCAGAGCAUUUAAAUAUGAAUCCACACUUUGGCGAUGUAUUACGGGAGUCUAAAUGUACAUAAUACUGUAUUAAUACUUGGUUGCUUGUACAUAUAUAUAUUGUGUUCCUUGGAAUCGGUAAUUACAUUUAAAUGGACUUUAGGCUUAGGAUCGCUAGCUUGGCUACCAUGUGCUUUGGUCGUAGCUACUUAGCUAGCGUGGACUUCGCCAAGAAUGUGUACUUCAGCUUGUGUUUCUCUCAUGUUAGGCUGCCAUUGUGAGGGUUCUCAUUGUGAGCAUUUCCCAUGUUUAAUAUUCCACCAGAAUAAACGGCUGGCUGCCAAUGGUUCCAUCGUGGUCUCAAUCACAACGCAACGAGAGAGUACGCAACCGCCUACAAAUGGUGCCGUGACCCGUUCUUCUCUGCCUGUCUGCUGCGUCAUUGAGGAUCGCCAUUCAACACGUGGCACGUGAGCUCCGACGACGUGGCCGUGCAGUGAGACGCCCGUGCUGCUUCUAGUAGACAGGUUCAGUAAUAAAAAUAAAGAGGAAUAGUUCGAACCAAGGCAUAUGGUUACUGCCGACCAUCUUGUAAAGAUAUAUGUGUUUUAAUUUUUUUUGUGUUUUAUUUUAUUUUUCUUUCUCCUCGUGCACAUAAUGCAAAUUGUUUUCUUUUUUUUGCUUUUGAGUUGAACGUGACAUUUGAACAGUGACGUGUAAUUAGUUGUGUAUGUGUUUUUUAUUUCUUUACUAUUGUCACUGCAUAACGUACAUUUUGGGUUUCGGGAAAUUGUGACUCAUUAAAGAUGGAUGAGCUGAACUUAUCUGCUUUAGGCAGGGGUCAGACAUUUAUGUUUAGCCCAUCACUCCAGAAAGGAGGUUUUCGGGGGAGGCCCCUGACAUCCACUCCUCAACAGGCCAAAGUGAAUGGUGCUGAGGGUGGUGACGUUUCUUCUAGUGCUGAUCAGUUAGCUGGUCCAUCUGCAUUUUCUGGGGGUAGGGAUGUUCUCUGUGUUGUUGUCCAUUGUUGUUAAAACUCUGACUGGUGGCAGACUUUAUUAUGGUCCAUGCAGCGGACGCUUGGUGAUGACGUGUUACGACGUGAUGACGUAUGUACAAAAGCCUUCCGUAGCCAGGCCACAGCUGUGACGGCCAACGGCCACGGCCAGAUGGCCUAGUGUGAGUGCAGGCCAGAGAACAAUGGGGUCAUUUGAGCACGGUUAGGUGUGAAAACGGCCACGGCCAGAUGGCCUAGUGUGAGUGCACCCUAAUACCACCUUUAACAUGUAGCUAAGUGACAUUCAAAAUAAAGGUAUAUUACGAGGGACAAAUAGUAUUAAAAAAAUCCUUUAUUUAAACAUGCCAAUUACAAAAUAUAAAUACCAUUAUAGGUUAAACAUCUUUACAAUGGGUCUUGCUCGUUGCCCGAGAAAAUGGCAGCCAGUCUGUCUCUUGUAACAUUACCAGGGGUCUGGUUAUCUGCUAGGGGGCACGGGGAGGCCAUGAUGACGUCACAGGGUAGGGUUGUCCCAUUUGGUAGGGGAUCGGUUAGGGGUAGCAAUGAGCAUGAGCUAUGAGGGUAAGGGUUAGGGUUAGGGUUGAGAUGAGAUUGAUGCACCUGGGUGGGUUUUACUCAACAUUGGCAAAUGUGAUAGUUAUGCAAUAAAAAAUGUAAUGGAAGUAAGAACUGGCUGGAUAUUGUGUCCUUGUUGUGAUGGUGCAGGUGUUUGUUUGUGUGUGUUUUUUAAAAAAGACAAAACAUCAAUGAAUAUAAUGUGGAAAAAAAAGAACUGACUGGAUUGGUUGAAAUAUUGAGGAGCACAAAAUAUUAUAUUUAAUUUAAAAAGUAAAGGAAAACAGAGCUCUGAAGUAUAUGUGUGUCAACCUUUUUCUAAUUUCAAGUCUUCCACACUCCCAGAUUAAAGUGUGUCACACCGUGUCACCGGUCUGGUGACUCCCCUGAUCCCUGAUUGUGUCUCCCCUCCUCAUGUGUAUAGGCUUUGUCUUCCCUUGUCGUUGUUGCCAGAGUAUUUCGUUCGUCACUGUCCAUGUACCUCCAGCUCCGGACCCAGCCUUGUCUUUGCCACGACCUGAACCAAGAAUCAGAGUUGAGUUCUAGUUUCUCGUUUUUUCCACGUAAGCGUGAUUAUUGUUUCUUGUGUUUUGUUAAGUUUUUGAUCGCUUGUUUUGACGAGAGGACAGGGAGUCUGAAAUAAAGUUUGUUUGGACCGUUCGCCUUUCUGCAUCUGAGUCCUCCUCCAAGAGCCCGCCUGACAAAGUGUUUUAAACAUCCAUCCCUAAAAAGGUCUUCAAAAUGAGGUGCUAGGUAUUGAGAUUUUGCUUUCAGAGUGCACCAGAUUAAUGCAUGUUCAAAAUCUUUGCCUGGGGGGGGCCAGACCACGCCCCCAGGCAUUUGUCCCCCCCAAUGUUGAAACCAUGGCCUCACCUCUGAAUGAAGGCUACGUUUACACGAUGACGAUCUGAACAGAAGACGCAAAAGUGGCGUCGCGUCUUGACUUUUUAUUCCGCGUUUAGACGAGCGUUUUCGGGAGGAAAUCUGCGUGCACACGGUGACGCAAAAGUGUGUGGAAUUCGAUUGGGUAUGCAUGCCAGGCGGCUAGGUGGUGCUGUGAUACACUAUCACACAACACCGCCAUGUCUGAGCGCAUGCGUAGAAUCUUCCUUCUUCUCUUAUCCGUGCCGCAAAAUCCAAAAAGAUCCUUCUCUGUUCAGUAAUUCUAUCUGUACA